GAUCAAUUUAAAAUGAACGCUGGCGGCAGGCCUAACACAUGCAAGAUCGAGCGGUAACAGCUCUAGCUUGCUACACGCUGACGAGCGGCGGACGGGUGUAGUAAUGCAUAGGAAUCUGCCCGAUAGUGGGGGAUAACCUGGGGAAACCCAGGCUAAUACCGCAUACGUCCUACGGGAGAAAGGGGGCUUCGGCUCCCCUAUUGGAUGAGCCUAUGUCGGAUUAGCUAGUUGGUAAGGUAAUGGCUUACCAAGGCAACGAUCCGUAGCUGGUCUGAGAGGAUGAUCAGCCACAUCGGGACUGAACACGGCCCGAACUCCUACGGGAGGCAGCAGUGGGGAAUAUUGGACAAUGGGGGCAACCCUAUCCAGCCAUGCCGCGUGUGUGAAGAAGGCCCUCGGGUUGUAAAGCACUUUCAGCGAGGAAGAACGCCUAUCGGUUAAUACCCGGUAGGAAAGACAUCACUCGCAGAAGAAGCACCGGCUAACUCCGUGCCAGCAGCCGCGGUAAUACGGAGGGUGCAAGCGUUAAUCGGAAUUACUGGGCGUAAAGCGCGCGUAGGUGGCUUAUAAGCCGGUUGUGAAAGCCCCGGGCUCAACCUGGGAACGGCAUCCGGAACAGGCUAGAGUGCAGGAGAGGAAGGUAGAAUUCCCGGUGUAGCGGUGAAAUGCGUAGAGAUCGGGAGGAAUAACCAGUGGCGAAGGCGGCCUUCUGGACUGACACUGACACUGAGGUGCGAAAGCGUGCA
rnacentral:rRNA from 1 species